CCUACGGGAGGCUGCAGUGGGGAAUAUUGGACAAUGGGCGAAAGCCUGAUCCAGCCAUGCCGCGUGUGUGAAGAAGGCCUUCGGGUUGUAAAGCACUUUCAGUGGGGAAGAAAGCCUUGGGGCUAAUACCCUCGAGGAAGGACAUCACCCACAGAAGAAGCACCGGCUAACUCCGUGCCAGCAGCCGCGGUAAUACGGAGGGUGCGAGCGUUAAUCGGAAUUACUGGGCGUAAAGCGCGCGUAGGCGGUCUGAUAAGCCGGUUGUGAAAGCCCCGGGCUCAACCUGGGAACGGCAUCCGGAACUGUCAGGCUAGAGUGCAGGAGAGGAAGGUAGAAUUCCCGGUGUAGCGGUGAGAUGCGUAGAGAUCGGGAGGAAUACCAGUGGCGAAGGCGGCCUUCUGGACUGACACUGACGCUGAGGUGCGAAAGCAUGGGUAGCAAACAGGAUUAGAUACCCGGGUAGUC
rnacentral:rRNA from 1 species